CUCACCGCCAAGACAGCCGGAUAUAUGGCUCUCCUUCGAGCGGCCGGUGCCGCAAUAGAGGCCCAAGAUGGCGCCUGAGGCCUUGUAUGAGUUGGAGGAAUCUAAAGCCUCGCAGGCCGACGGAGGUGCCUCACACCCACCCUCCUCAGAUAAAGCUUCCGGUAUGUCUGUGUCUGAAGAAGACGAGUCACCUUCAACUAAGGGUGACAUUAAACGUCUCCUAAUAGACCUUAGGAAAGUGAGGAAGCAGGACCUCCGAGAGGUACAGGCCAAAGUGGGGGCAGUACACCAAAAAGUGCAGGAAAAAGCUGAAAGAGAUCGCCAGGGAAGCAAAGUCCCAGGCUACAGAACACAAGCUAAUAUAACUCACCUCUUAAGUGCAACAGCUACAAAAAGUGAUGACAACAACAAAAGUACGGAACACGAGAAGAAACAUGCGAUUCAGGGGCAUCCCAGAGUCAGUUGAAAACGCAAAACUCCUGCUGUGGGUCAAAACAACAUGCUGAUAACCAUGGGCACUGAAAACAACCCCGACUCACCACCGAUCUCAUCAGUGUUCAGGGUUAAAAAAGCAGCCGCAGAGCCAAAUGAAGCACCCAGGGACGUCAUAGCGGUGACAAGGGAUAUAGCGGUAAAAUCAGAACUAAUGCAACGUUCUAGAGAAAUAGGGACAGUGCCACAUGAAGGCCACAAAAUAGCAAUCUACGCUGACAUCCCAUUCUCCACCCUAGCGGAGAGGAGAAAGCUGGCACCCGUGGCCAGAAGACUGCAUGACUCGACCAUCAGGUACCGGUGGGGCACUGAGGGAUCACUAUUAGAUGAAAAGAGUGAGCAAGUUUCACCUUAACCUCCAGAGAUGACCCUAACCAGUUCUUGCAAAAGCUGAACCUGCCACCCCAGCGGACAUACCGAACUCACACAGCACAGACUGAAACAGAGACACCACCAAAUGCAGCAAUACAAGAAUACCAAGACUCACUACCAAGAAAAAGAAACCGAAGUAGCAGUCCGAACGCCAACCCUCACACCCACGUAUCCUAGAUGAUCCCGCUACCACUGGACUAACUCUGAUCCUGAAACACCUAUGACCGGCAAAGACACACCACCACAAUAACAGGAGGACACUAAGGCCCUAGAGAUGUGCCCUAUGCAUACAUAUGAAUAACCUACUCACCUACACAUAUGCACCCCAAUGUAACUGUAACUGUAUCUGAAUACUCAAAAUAUGUUUGUUUCCUUUUUGCUUUAACAAAUACAUCGGAGAAGUUGUAUAACACUGAAAAUAAC